AAGUCGUAACAAGGUCUCCGUUGGUGAACCAGCGGAGGGAUCAUUACAGAGUUGCAAAACUCCCCAAACCAUCGUGAACCUUUACCGCUAAACAGUUGCUUCGGCGGGUGGCCAGGGGCGCGCGCAAGCCCGCCGGAGGAAUCCAAAAAACCAUCGCUUUCAGUACCGGCCUCUCUGAGUUACUGUACUUUUAAUUAAGUCAAAACUUUCAACAACGGAUCUCUUGGUUCUG
rnacentral:misc_RNA from 1 species